rnacentral:rRNA from 1 species
UGGUGGCACGAGUUGUCUGGUUUAUUCCGUUAACGAGCGAGACCGAUACCUUUAAAUAGAGGGGCAAAUUUUCUAUAUGUUGCGAGGGAUUAUCUUGAGAUGGCCUCACCGCCGUCUUGACGUGGUUCUGAGCAUCUGAAAAAUUUGUUUAGACCAUAACGAUAAAAAGUUACGGUUUACCAGUAUUAAUCUUCUUAAAGGGAUUACACAUGUUUAAUGUGAUGAAAUUGUCGGCUAGAACAGGU